UACGUAGGGAGCAAGCGUUGUCCGGAAUUACUGGGCGUAAAGCGUGCGCAGACGGUUGCGUAAGUCAGAUGUGAAAGCCCCGGGCUCAACCUGGGAAUUGCAUUUGAGACUGCGUAGCUAGGGUGCGGAAGAGGGAAGCGGAAUUUCCGGUGUAGCGGUGAAAUGCGUAGAUAUCGGAAGGAACACCAGUGGCGAAAGCGGCUUCCUGGUCCAGCACCGACGUUCAGGCACGAAAGCGUGGGGAGCAAACAGG
rnacentral:rRNA from 1 species